ACGAAGUAAUAGCAAAUACUUGCAUAAAAUAAUUUUGCAAGGGAGCCUGUGUGGGAUUUGUAGACUUAAGGGCAGUUGUACAAUCGUUGACUAAAUCCAAGGUGGAAUAAGCUAACCACGAUAUAACCACAGGUAUAACUUGAGUGCGCGUUGUAGCAUGCGGUUUUAUUCCGCAGUUAGUUGUUCAUGGAAUAGCGAUCCCGUCUAGUUAAGUUGGCGACAACUGAAGUGCAUGGUGGGUAUUUGCGCGCGUGUGAUUCAGUUUAUUUACUUCUCGUCGUGUCGAGUUAUCGUCGUUUGCUAAAGAAGUUUUAUCAGCUUGGGCGAGAAACGAUCAAGGACGCAAAACUAUUUAAAAAAACUUGUGGACAUUAUACAAGAUUGGGAAACAUUAUAGAGAACAAGAAAAGGGAUGCAGUGAAAAGGUGGGGCAUCAGUCCAGGAGAAUGCCUGUCAGCUACACAAGUAUCAUGUACAUCGCAAUAAUGUUCUAGGUAUGCUGUACUUGCAGGUUAUCAGAACUGUUAAGCACAAAUCUAACACUAAAGCUCAAAAUCCACAUCAGAAAAUUGUAAUUCCAUUCUAAAGAGAUUUUUCAUUACGUGAUUCUAAAAACUAAAGCACAUCCAUUAGUUUUUAUGACAGGUUAUACAGAAUUUGACUCGUGAAACAAUGUGUGUAUAGUGUAUGUGGUGACUGAUAGUGAGAUAUGAGUUAACAAUGUGGCAUUAUAUUAUUUAAUAAGUUAUUUGUAAAAAAAAAUGUAUACCAGGAUUAAGCCUAAUGAUUGUCUCUAACUGGAUGUCCAUAAAUAUGUUUAUAUGAAUUAUCUUACUUUAAAUUGAUCUGAAUUUGUAAAUACUUUGACAUGUCCUAUAUCCUUGUAAAAAGAGAUAUACAGAUGAAUAAAGCUACUACUACUACUACU